UAGUGCUCCACAGGGACAUCAGCACAUGGCCCAGCCGAGCACUUCCCCAAACCCUAGUGACGUGUGCUGCUCCCGCACUUCUCGCAAGGAGCCCUCCUCGCUGAAGAAACGGGGGCACUGAGGCCCAGGGACGGCGGUUGCUGGCCUGAGGCCAUCCAGGCGGGAAACCGUGGAGUCAGGAUCCAUCUCUGGCAAACCUCUGACUCCCUCUGACCUCAAAUCUGCAAAACCAAACUCACAACACUCCCCAGAAGAACAACUGGCCCUUGGCUGUGACGUCUUGUGAAGGACCCCUCGAUGGCGCUCUAGACCAGAGGCCACCGCACAGUGUCACGCAGAAACCAGCCGUGUGGCGUGACCUCCGUGCUUCAGAAUCAAGACAGGUGACUGGCAAUUCCAGGGACAAACAUAGUUACUGCAGGACCCGGCCAUUCCACGCCGACAGAGGGGACAUAGAAGCAUACGUCCACAGAAGCUUGUACACAGCUGUUCAAAGCAACUCUGUUCUCAGAGUCAAAGGGUGGAAACAACCCAAACGUCCAACCACAGAUUAAUAGAUAAGCAACAUGUGGUCCAUCCCCUCUGUGCAAUAUUAUUCACCUUUAAAAAGGAAGGGAAUUGGGACACUUGCCACAACAUGGGUGAACAGUGAAGGCACGCUAAGUGAAAUAACCCAGUCACAAAAGGAUGGAAAUUGUAUGAUUCUAUUUAUACGAGGUUCC
rnacentral:lncRNA from 1 species